rnacentral:lncRNA from 1 species
UUACUGCCUCUCAUCACUGGGAACUCUGACAUCCACCUGAACAAUUAUGCACUUUCUUCUGAUCUUCAAACCACUCCCCAAAGCUGACAUGAGGUGAAUGUUUUCUCCAUGAUGUGCAGUACCACAACAUGUGACAAGGAUGAGCCACCCUGGACUAAAGCCAAUGAAAUCAUGAGCCAGCACUAAUUGUCCUCUUCAAGGCGAAUGAAGAUCUCAAGCGUUUUGUCUUAGUAAUGGAAGACUUAUUACUAUGUAUACCUGCUAUUAGUCAAGUAUAAAUGUUCAUCUAAAACCUA